rnacentral:pre_miRNA from 1 species
CAGGUACUCCCUCCGUCCGAAAAUACUUGUCUUAGAAAUGGUUAAAAAUGGAUGUAUCUAUAAUUAAAAUAAAUCUAGAUACAACCAUUUCUAAGACAAGUAUUUUCGGACGGAGGGAGUAUUUA